ensembl:miRNA MIR5090 microRNA 5090
UCUGAGGUACCCGGGGCAGAUUGGUGUAGGGUGCAAAGCCUGCCCGCCCCCUAAGCCUUCUGCCCCCAACUCCAGCCUGUCAGGA